rnacentral:lncRNA from 1 species
CAGAUAUCAUUCUAUCUCUGGAAUGAAUUAGUGGUUGAACCAGUCCCAGAAGAUCCCAGCAGUCUCCCACACUUUUCUAUGCUACCCCAAUGCAUCCUGGUCUUGUUUUUCCUUUUAGAACCCUGGGAUUUGGGGCUCCGUCGAUAAUCCGUGCCUGCUGACACCAGCACACAGUAGCAGGGUGGAAGGCAGGAGCCUCAGCGAUGGCUUUUGUCACACAGGAGCUCUUUCCUCCCCGUUUUCACCAAAGGAUCCGUCUUGUGUCCACAAGUUAAACGCUCGUCCUGGUAGGGAACCUUUUUCCUCAAACAGCAGCGUGUUCGGCGUGUUCUGAAACUUGGUAGCAGAACCAGCUUGGCCAGGAUGGGCCACAUUUCCUAGACCAUGCUGGAACGUGAGACGAUAAAGCCCCUCUGGCGAGCCCCAAGAGGCUCUACGUUUCCUGGCCCUCCGUCACAGGCUUCUAAACUGAUGGGCCAUCCAAUCAUUGGCUGGUUUUCAUCCUUCCGCCAUCUUUCUUAGCCACCAACUCAGCCAUGUUUCCAUGUUCCAGUUCCCUCGUGGCACACUGAAGCGGUGACUUUAGCCCUUUCUAGAGCGGAUUCAACAACACUUUUGUGAAUAUUGUCCCCCUUUGGGGGACGUGACGCCCCGCUGAUUCUUGAGCAGCAAACGUGCAGCAGACGUUCCAGCAUGAGUUUAUUUAACCCCUGGAUUUUCUCACUGAGCCCCAUCACUGACUUUGCACGGUUGGGCUUGGGCUCCAAAGCGCUUGUAUUGUGCGUUGGGGGCACAAUGGCGGCACAAACUUGAGUUUUAGAAGCAAACAAUGACAGGGAGCUCAUUACAAGACCAAUAAAAUGCCUAGUAGGGUGCCAGCCCAUCCACAGACUUUGCAGAGGUAUCACAACACUCUUCUGCGCAUAGCUGGGGAUGUGCGUAGCUGCCAACAAGCAAGUGAAAAUGAGGUUACUAAUAAAAUUGCACGGAUGCUUGAAGUUAGGAGAGUUAGACAACAAAAAGAGCAGGAUUGACUCUCAUUGUAUGAAACAAUUCCAAUUGCCCACUGAUCCAGGGGCAGAUGAACAGACCAGUUCUUUCUCUGGAUGUGAUCUUUCUCACAAGUUCCUCAGAAUUGUCCUGGAUCAUUGCUUUGCUGCUAGUAGAGAAGUCUAUUACAUUUGAUUGUGCCACAGUGUAUCCAUAAGAUUAGACAUUUAAAGAUCGAGAGUAUCUCGGAGAUGAUAGAGUCCAGCCUUCUCAGGAGGAAACUGAGGCAGGAGACAUGAAGCCACUUGUUCGGAGAAACAAAACCAAUAACUCUCCAAUGCAGGAUUCAAACCCAGUUACUCCUGACUCAGUCAAGAAACAUUCAUUAAAUACUCCAGAAGGCCAGACAUUGUGCUAAGCUGGGAGGAUACAAAUACAAAUCAAAAUAAAGACUAGGUGUCAAGGUAUUUGCCA